AUAUUGGGCAAUGGGGGAAACCCUGACCCAGCAACGCCGCGUGAGGGAAGAAGGCUUUCGGGUUGUAAACCUCUGUCCUUGGGGACGANNUAAGUGACGGUACCCAAGGAGGAAGCUCCGGCUAACUACGUGCCAGCAGCCGCGGUAAUACGUAGGGAGCAAGCGUUGUCCGGAAUUACUGGGCGUAAAGGGUGCGUAGGUGGCCUGGUAAGUCAGAUGUGAAAUACCCGUGCUUAACAUGGGGGGUGCAUCUGAUACUGUCAGGCUUGAGUGCAGGAGAGGAAAGCGGAAUUCCUAGUGUAGCGGUGAAAUGCAUAGAUAUUAGGAGGAACACCAGUGGCGAAGGCGGCUUUCUGGACUGUAACUGACGCUGAGGCACGAAAGCGUGGGGAGCAAACAGG
rnacentral:rRNA from 1 species